rnacentral:rRNA from 1 species
UGGGGAAUAUUGCACAAUGGGGGAAACCCUGAUGCAGCGACGCCGCGUGAGCGAUGAAGGCUUUCGAGUCGUAAAGCUCUGUCCUAUGGGAAGAUAAUGACGGUACCAUAGAAGAAAGCCCCGGCUAAUUACGUGCCAGCAGCCGCGGUAAUACGUAAGGGGCGAGCGUUGUCCGGAAUUAUUGGGCGUAAAGAGUGCGUAGGCGGCAAAUUAAGUCAGAUGUGAAAACUAAGGGCUCAACCCAUAGAUUGAAUCUGAAACUGAUAUGCUUGAGUCAAGGAGAGGAAAGUGGAAUUCCUAGUGUAGCGGUGGAAUGCGUAGAUAUUAGGAGGAAUACCGGUGGCGAAGGCGACUUUCUGGACUUGAACUGACGCUGAGGCACGAAAGCGUGGGGAGCAAACAGG